rnacentral:rRNA from 1 species
UACGAAAGGGGCUAGCGUUGCUCGGAAUGACUGGGCGUAAAGGGCGCGUAGGCGGAUGGCACAGUCAGAUGUGAAAUUCCCGGGCUUAACCUGGGGGCUGCAUUUGAUACGUGUGAUCUAGAGUGAGGAAGAGGGUCGUGGAAUUCCCAGUGUAGAGGUGAAAUUCGUAGAUAUUGGGAAGAACACCGGUGGCGAAGGCGGCGACCUGGUCCUUGACUGACGCUGAGGCGCGAAAGCGUGGGGAGCAAACAGG